rnacentral:rRNA from 1 species
CCUACGGGAGGCAGCAGUGAGGAAUAUUGGUCAAUGGACGAGAGUCUGAACCAGCCAAGCAGCGUGAAGGAUGACUGCCCUAUGGGUUGUAAACUUCUUUUAUAAAGGAAUAAAACGAGGCACGUGUGCCUUUUUGCAUGUACUUUAUGAAUAAGGAUCGGCUAACUCCGUGCCAGCAGCCGCGGUAAUACGGAGGAUCCGAGCGUUAUCCGGAUUUAUUGGGGUUAAAGGGAGCGUAGAUGGGUUGUUAAGUCAGUUGUGAAAGUUUGCGGCUCAACCGUAAAAUUGCAAUUGAUACUGGCAGUCGUGAGUACAGUUGAGGUAGGCGGAAUGCGUGGUGUAGCGGUGAAAUGCUUAGAUAUCACGAAGAACCCCGAUUGCGAAGGCAGCUUACUAAACUGUGACUGACAUUGAUGCUCGAAAGUGUGGGUAUCAAACAGGAUUAGAUACCCCAGUAGUC